AUUUAUGAAAAGGGUGUAUUAUACCUAUACUUAUCUACAGUAUUAAUAAUGGUCGAAAUCAAACUCAGCACUCAACAGGGAACUUGAUUUUUUUACUCCCAAACGGAUAAAUAUACCCUUUUGGCCACACUUUUACGCAAGCAAGGUUUUCCAAUUCCAAAGCUUUACAAAUCAAACCUAAAAUUUUUUUGUUGAGAAUAACUAUCUUGACAAGUGCGUAUACAGAGGUUGGCCUAUCUUUGUUGUUGAAAACCAAUACUAAAUUUAACUUACGUGUUACAUAAGUCAUAACCAAGUUAAAACUAACCUCGCUCCCAGUGGCCAUUUGUUUUUGAAACUGCUUUGCCUUUAGCUUGCUCGUUGCAGGGGUUGAACAGAAUAACCUCUCUUGACUCUACAUUUCAAGCUUGACCUAACAUUUCAAGCUUGACUCUACAUUUCAAGGUCAUCCGUCAGAAGAGUAAUGGGGAGUUAAAUAAUAACCUUUCGGUCAAUCAAAAUGACAAAAAAGCAAUGAAUAUAACCCCCGUAAGUUAAUAACCAAGUUGUAAAUUUAGGGAGGAAAGGUGGGGUAAAUGUGUCAGUUAGAAAAAGAAAGGAAUAAUUAUUUAGUUUACGCAAUAAUUAUUCCAGCAAUAAUUCCCCCGCCUCUGGUAAUUUUUACCAUUUUUUUUCUGUUUUAGCGUUGCGUGUUUCGGAGUUACACUGUAUUUCCGGGGUUUCUCAUUUUAGUGAUAGUCGUGUUCGUUAUAUUCAUUUUGAAAUCAGUUUCCUGCUAUCUGAUUGGCUCUAAGCAUCUGAGCAGUGCUAUUUCACUACGAAUCGCACUCAUAGCUGCGCGAUUUCAAAAUUGCUUGUACUGCUUUACUUUAGCCAGCCAAUCAGUGAAUUAAUUCACCCAACUAGCCAAUCAAUUUUAAGAAAUAAAUCAAUUUAGCGAAUUAGGGCCUGUUCAUAUGGGCAAAAGUUAUCCCGGUUAAAUUAACGAGAAAACUUUUCAACCAUGCAGCCAAAUAUUUUUGUUCUGUUCAUAUGGAGAAACGUUAUCCCGCCUACCAGGUAAAGUUUCCGGCUGUCAAGUAGCACUGAAC